AGCAGCCGCGGUAAUUCCAGCUCCAAUAGCGUAUAUUAAAGUUGUUGCAGUUAAAAAGCUCGUAGUUGAAUUUCGGGGUUAGUAGGUUGGUCAUGCCUCUGGUAUGUACUGGUCUCACUGAUUCCUCCUUCCUGAUGAGCCGUAAUGCCAUUAAUUUGGUGUUGCGGGGAAUUUGGACUGUUACUUUGAAAAAAUUAGAGUGUUUAAAGCAAGCUAACGCUUGAAUACAUUAGCAUGGAAUAAUGAAAUAGGACGUUCGAUCCUAUUUUGUUGGUUUCUAGGAUUGACGUAAUGAUUAAUAGGGAUAGUUGGGGGCAUUAGUAUUCAAUUGUCAGAGGUGAAAUUCUUGGAUUUAUUGAAGACUAACUACUGCGAAAGCAUUUGCCAAGGAUGUUUUCAUUAAUCAAGAACGAAAGUUAGGGGAUCGAAGACGAUCAGAUACCGUCGUAGUCUUAACCAUAAACUAUGCCGACUAGGGAUCGGAUGAUGUUAAUUUUUUUAAUGACUCA
rnacentral:rRNA from 2 species